rnacentral:rRNA from 1 species
UACAGAGGUCUCAAGCGUUGUUCGGAUUCAUUGGGCGUAAAGGGUGCGUAGGCGGCGCGGUAAGUCGGGUGUGAAAUCUCGGGGCUUAACUCCGAAACUGCAUUCGAUACUGCCGUGCUUGAGGACUGGAGAGGAGACUGGAAUUUACGGUGUAGCGGUGAAAUGCGUAGAUAUCGUAAGGAAGACCAGUGGCGAAGGCGGUUCUCUGGGCAUUACCUGACGCUGAGGAGCGAAAGUGUGGGGAGCGAACAGG